rnacentral:rRNA from 1 species
UACAGAGGAUGCAAGCGUUAUCCGGAAUGAUUGGGCGUAAAGCGUCUGUAGGCGGCUUUUUAAGUCCGCCGUCAAAUCCCAGGGCUCAACUCUGGACAGGCGGUGGAAACUACCAAGCUGGAGUACGGUAGGGGCAGAGGGAAUUUCCGGUGGAGCGGUGAAAUGCGUAGAGAUCGGGAAGAACACCAACGGCGAAGGCGCUCUGCUGGGCCGACACUGACGCUGAGAGACGAAAGCUAGGGGAGCGAAUGGG